AUGUUCUGACAUAAAAAGAGGAUCAGUUCAAAUUAAAUCAAUGUCAGAUUUUUUUAAUUAAAACAAACGAUUUUUUCAACGCAAUGUCAGAUUUUUUUCAACAAUGUCAGUAUGGCCAUCAAAUAGUACACGCAAUGUCAGAUUUUUUCAACGAAUGGUCCAAAUUAAAACAAACGAUUUGAACGGCUGAGAUUAGGAUCGCACAUAGUGCGCAUUUAGGGGAUCUCACUAGAAGCGUCCUG
rnacentral:lncRNA from 1 species